UGAGAAGCUUUUGAAAUAUGUGACAAGUCGGUCAUCUUCUACCAUCCUCGUAAAAUUCACAUUAUCAAAAAGAUGGGCGGUCCUUCUCUCACUCGUGUGCUCCGCGCACUCGUGACAGAAGGAUCUAUUUGAUAAUGUGAAUAUUACUCGGAUAUUAGAAGAUAACCAUUACUUACUGACUGCAAAAACGAUCACAGGUAUGUGUAUACAUGGAUUUGUUACAUAACACUUCUCGUCUGUUUCAACGCCCCAGACAUCGAUCGGCGCACGCUUUACCCGUGAAACAGCAAAAGUAACUUCACCAAAACUGAAUUAUCCCUGUCUUGUUUCUAUUGUGUAAUUCUGAUGUUAGUACCGCCCAUGCGAUAACAAGGUGGGAGGAGCUCGUUUUAUCACACAUGCGAUAAAAAAACCCUAUUGAUGAUAACCAGAUACAAUACCUGAACAACAAAAGAAAAUCACUGUAAAUAUGUGACAAGAAAAUCAUCAAAAAAUUCGGGAUCAUGGUAGAUUUAGCAGCCUCAAACAAGACUCCACCUGCCUCCAUCCGAAACAGACCUACCUAUGAUGAUGAUGCCCUUCCUGGCGCGUGUUAGAGCCACGUUAAUUUGAUGUCGGUCUGUGAUAAACCCCAGAUUCUGGCCGCACCAGCCCAGUGUUGGAUGGGUUUCUAUUCUGUACGCUGGGAGAGAUCGGACGGUGCUAAAUAUCACGUAGUCCCAUUCGCCACCUGCAAAUGUGAAUUGAUGCUAGAUUUACACACAAAAAAACCCCCACCCAAACAACAACAACAAACAAAGAAACAAAAAAAGAAAAAGGAGGAAAAAAAACCCAAUGGUAUCAUGCUUUGUAUUUGAUUUGCAUGAUAUGAUUUGAUUCCACUUACCCUGACUGCCCACCACGGUAUUCACUUCAACGUCAUUGAAACCUUUCUGUUUCAGAGCUUCUUGGAUUGAAAACUUCUGAGCUCUGUAUUGUGACAUGAUUUUGACCUGGGACGAGUUUAGUCGUUCGUGAGAUUUCAGAAAUCCAAACAAUUUUACCUGCAUCAAACCACGUGAUUAUUCUAACAUAAUAUGUUAACAUAAACUCAGAUACUUAAAGUUAUUAUUUAAUAAAAUGAAUUAAAGCAUAUAAAAA